GCAUAGGCGCAGGCAACCGCCAAUCAGCAGCCACGGCCAAUAGCGCUGGGAUACAGGGGGACUUGUCCCGCCCAGCAACCCUGAGGCGGCUCCGCUUUCCUAGUGGAGGGAACAGAGCGGCUGCGGCUGCAUUGGGAGAGCGACCUGUCAAUCCAACAUGGACGGAUUAAUCCCGCCCUCCCGCGGACGCGAUUGGCCAGCCGGCCCCGGGGCGGGGCUCUUCUCGGGAUGCUCGGGGGCGAUUGGCGCGAGGUUCCUUCCGUUUCCGGGUAGCGGCCGCACGCGUGAGGCGCUGCUGGUCCGCCCGCCCGGGCCCUGCGCCAUCGCCGCGAUGGACGGGCCGCGCUUCCCCUCCGCGGGAUGGACGGGCCGCGCUCCCCCUCCCGCGCCCCCACCGUCGGCUCCGCGGGGAGCGCUGAGCAGCAUGGCGGGGAGGCGUUGCUGGGCGGCCGCUGCUGUGCUCAGCCUCUCCCUUCGGGCCUGGGGGCUCUCGAAGACCCGCGGGCCGUGCCGGUGCCGCCGGCCCUCGGGCGGGGUUCUAGGUUUUAUCUCGCUGGCCCUUUGGUGGUGCAGGCGGUGGUGGAGCUCCCUCGGGCCAGGGCUGGCUAAGGGUCGAGGCGGAUCCCCGAGAAGGGGCUGAUGGAGCCGGGCUGCGCUAAAGCGCGCUCAGGUGGCAGCGGGGAGGCCGCUCUCGGACGAGCAGCGCCGUUCAGUCGGCGCCUUCUGUCCUCGUAGGCGGCGGAGGCUGUAUGUGGGCAGCUGGCAAACUGCUGCAUGGGUCUGUCUCCUUCCUGGCUUUGGCUGUGUCUGGGGACCGAUUUGGCUGCGUUCGGUUUCCCGGGUUUGGUUAAUUUUUGGUGGGAUAAAGCAGGCGGUUUGACCCUGAGAAAGUAGCGGUGCUUUGCGUGCUCGGAUUUGGUGCUGAGAGGGGAGACCCGAGUAGUUUUUGCACAGCUUGACCUGUCACCCGAGCAGCUGGCAGGGGUGGCAGCGGGUUGGAAAAAUGGGAGCACGAUUGGGCUGGCUGUCUGAGCAAAAGAAUGGUUCAGUCGAUGCUGGAGCAAGGACAGAAGUGCCUAAUGUUAGCCAGAGAAGUGCUGGAUUUGGAACGCGUCCUGUGCAGCCAGCUUUGCUCACUCUCCUGGGCAGAUGCCGAAUUCUUUCCAAGAACUUGGCGCAGAGCGUGGCGGUCUCCUAAAGCAGCAGGGCCUAUCCUAUAAUGAUUUAAAUCAUCUGUUCAGAAGAAGCAUUAAUGGAACUUGCAUAAGAAUCCUGACAUUUUGCUGAUGUUCCUGUUAGAAGACCUAUCACCUCAUUUUGAAAUAAAGCAUUAAUAAAAGCACCACUAUUCAAACUGCAGGGUUUAAAUGCUCAGAGUCAGUCAUAAACUGGGUUAACUUCAGGCAUUCUGCUGCAGAACAGAAUUAUGAUUUAUAAAUUUGUGGUUUGUUCUCACAUGGUGUACAAGGAGAUGGACAUACAAGAAUGAUACUGUCAGCAAAUAGGUUUUUAUUUCUUUUUAAAAAGGGGAGGGCUAAGUUAGCUAGUGAGAAAGAAAAGUCUCAUUUCAGCUUAUCAGAACAGGACAUGCCUUCAUGUUCAAGUCCGAUAUUUCUGCGUCAUUCUGAGUUGUGAUAGUGACUGAAAAUGAAGUUCCUUGUUGUGCCCUAACAAUUGAGCUCUAUUUAGGUGGGGGUUUUUUGUUCAUUGAAGUUUUUAAGUGGGAUAUCUUGAGCUCCAGCUAUUUUGCAUGCCAUGUAAAUAAUCUCAGCAUACCAUCAUAGUCACAUAUGGCAGCACCAACACAUCCUCAGUUUUGAGAGCAUUAUGAAUGUUUAAAAUGUCCUUGCAAUUCUGGGCUGCUUAAAUCGUGAACACUGAAAACACAUCUGUAAAAUGUUCCUGGUUAUUUUGGAAAUGUGCUAGUUUUAAAAAAUUGUGCAACAAACAGCAGAAACAUAGAAAUGCUGUGGGGGUUUUACAGGGAAACUGACGUUUUGAAAUCUGAACUGUACCUAACUUCCUGUUUUGGGUCUAACCUGGAGAUUUAUAAGCAAGUUAGUUUCUGAACUGGAUAGGUAAUUAAAUAAUAUCCAUGGAUUGAUGGCAUAUUCCUAAGAGAGUGUUUGCAUUAGCCGUAAAAUACAACAUUCCAUUUCAUAAAUGAGAGAGGUGAAGAAUAUUUACAAAGUGACCUGUAUCAAUUUAACUAAUGGGGAUAAACGUGACCUAAGGCAGUUUUUUUCAUUUAAACCAUGUAAAGAUACCCUUUGACAGAGAGGGUUCAUGGUAAUGAUCCAAGGAGAAAUGUCUGAGCCCCACAUUUAACAAAUAGAACAGAAGGUCAUGUUCAGGCUUGAAUGUGGACCUUUAAAUGAGGCACUCUUUAGACUUCAUUACUUCUUAAUGGCACUGAUAGCACUGUGUGCCUCUUUGCACUGAGCUUUGUGAGUUGUGACACUAUCUUGAAGCAGGGACAAGUAGUAUGACCUCUGUAUUAGAGGAGCAGAUUUAUUCUUUGGGGUAAGCAAGCUGCUUGCAACUGUUCUGGCAUAUGAAAAUCUGUUAGAUCCUUGUUUCAGAUUUGCAGAUGGUAGUAGUUCUUGAGUCUUUCAAUAUUACAGAGGAAGCAUAAUUUUAUACGUAUCUAUUUCCAUGCAGAACUAAGAAAUACUGCUUCUAAUGACAACACCUCUGGCCUCUUUUCAUCCAGGAGUUAGGAGUGCUAAAAUCUUUGAUGAGCCUUAGAAAAAGAUGGGGCAAGCUCAAGAAAAAAAAAAAAAAAAAGAUCUGCCAAAUAUAAAGACACCAUUAUGGUAUUAAGUCCUGGGCCAUAGAAGGCUAGGUGUCACAGCAUAUGCCGCAGUGGAGACAGCCUUGAUAUACAGAGUGUCACCAUACAAUUUCAUAAAGCUCCAACCCAAACAGAGUAACACCAUACCACUUUAGAAGGCUUCAAGCAUCUGCUCGUACAGAGUAACAUCAUACCACCUCAGAAGGCUGCAAGUGUCUGCUCAUCUUGUUCCUUAGUCCAACUUUUUAUAGCCUUCAUGCACUGUGCCUGUGUGCCCUCUGUUCCCUUUGGCGGUUGGUCAGUGCACCUGGGCACUCCAUGGCUCAUGGCUUUCAGUGCUGCUCACAGCUGUACCCACUGGGGAUGAGGCUUGGCUGCAGCCCCACUCCCAAUUACCACAAACUGUUCCUACAGCUAGGGAGUGGGAUUGGAACUAUGUGCAUGUCCUGUUCUUUGCUUCCUGUGCUCACUUUUGUCCAGUGUCACAGAAACGGUCUUGGUCUCUGGUAUGGUAAUUUGUACAGCUGUAAUUUACUUAAAGUGCUGGAAGUGUCUUGACCUUUAGUGAGGCUGGGAAAACGCCAGGGCACUCAUUGCCUGUAAGAAAAAUUCUUGUGCCCCAGUUAAGGUUUGCCAUAAUGCUCUGUCACAGCAGUGGUGACAGGGGUGUUUUCACUGGUUCCCUUUAUUUUAAAAACGUGCAGGUGCAGUGAGGCACAAGAGCAUCGCAAUUAUCGUGCGUGUCGUGACCACGAGGGGGCCCCGGCAGCUUCGGUCUGGCUGAGCCCGGAGUUACACACUGGUACACAGUGGUACAGGGGCAGGGCUGAUUGCUUGGUGUGUCAGUGGUUACAUCCCUUCUUGUUCAGCACUUCUGAAUUACCUCUUCUAUAUAUUUAUUUUUUUUUAUUACAGUAUUUUGCUAUAUAAUUUUGAGAAAUGCAUCUUGUUACAAAAACUCAACACUAGCCAUUUGUUCUCCUCUGUGGCAGAAGACAGUACCAAGCAUGUCAUCCAUCACAUGUGAGUUUUCAUCUGUAUGAACGAUUUCCCCAAGUAGAAGUUCAAGAGUUUUGCACACAUCACUGUUUCUAAAGUAGAAGGAAUCGGUGUGAAGAAUUGUAAUGAUAAGGUUUUUUGUAUAUCUUAUUGGUACUACAAUAUUUCAAUAAACAUUUUUCUUUCUCUGCA